rnacentral:lncRNA from 1 species
CUUAACCACUACCCAGUUUUUUGUAAAAAAUUCUGCUGGAAAACCAUCAACCCCUGGUGCCUUGUCUGAAGGCAUAUCCUUAACUGCUACAGUAACCUCCUCCAUAGUUACCUCUCUAAUGAGAGAUCUUUGUUGAUCAAGUUUCAGACAAUACCCUUCCUUCAUGAUCUGGGAAUUAACACAAGGGAGCUCAACAGCACAUUCUCCCAUUAAAGAGUGAAAAACCUUCAAGAAUUCCUGCUCAACAAGUAAAGGAUCAGUUAGUUUAAUCCCAUCUUCAGUAUAAA